CCCUUAGAUGUUCUGGGCCGCACGCGUGCUACACUGAGUGGAUCAGCGGGUCAGGUUGCGCGAAAGCGUUUCCUAAUCUUUAAAUCCGCUCGUGAUGGGGAUUGACGGUUGCAAUUUUCUGUCAUGAACGAGGAAUACCUUGUAAGCGCGGGUCAUCAUCCCGCGCUGAAUACGUCCCUGCCCUUUGUACACACCGCCCGUCGCUCCUACCGAUUGAGUGGUCCGGUGAGGCUUUGGGAUCUGAGCGGAAAGAGCGUUUCGCUGUUUCUGCUCGGAAAACUCAGUCGAACCUUAUCAUUUAGAGGAGGAGAAGUCGUAACA
rnacentral:rRNA from 1 species